rnacentral:rRNA from 1 species
AUGCACGCUGGCGGCGUGCCUAAUACCUGCAAGUCGCGCGAACAGACGAGGAGCUUGCUCCUCUGACGUUAGCGGCGGACGGGUGAGUAACACGUGGAUAACCUACCUAUAAGACUGGGAUAACUUCGGGAAACCGGAGCUAAUACCGGAUAAUAUAUUGAACCGCAUGGUUCAAUAGUGAAAGACGGUUUUGCUGUCACUUAUAGAUGGGUCCGCGCCGCAUUAGCUAGUUGGUAAGGUAACGGCUUACCAAGGCAACGAUGCGUAGCCGACCUGAGAGGGUGAUCGGCCACACUGGAACUGAGACACGGUCCAGACUCCUACGGGAGGCAGCAGUAGGGAAUCUUCCGCAAUGGGCGAAAGCCUGACGGAGCAACGCCGCGUGAGUGAUGAAGGUCUUCGGAUCGUAAAACUCUGUUAUUAGGGAAGAACAAAUGUGUAAGUAACUAUGCACGUCUUGACGGUACCUAAUCAGAAAGCCACGGCUAACUACGUG